GUUGUAUGGUUAAGUGACUAAGCGUACACGGUGGAUGCCUGGGCAGUCAGAGGCGAUGAAGGACGUACUAACUUGCGAUAAGCGCAGAUAAGGCAGUAAGAGCCGUUUGAGUCUGCGAUUUCCGAAUGGGGAAACCCAACUGCAUAAGCAGUUACUGUUAACUGAAUACAUAGGUUAACAGAGCAAACCGGGGGAACUGAAACAUCUAAGUACCCCGAGGAGAAGAAAUCAACCGAGAUUCCGGUAGUAGCGGCGAGCGAACCUGGAUUAGCCCUUAAGCACUCGGUGAAGUAGGUGAACAAGCUGGAAAGCUUGGCGAUACAGGGUGAUAGCCCCGUAACCGACGCUUCAUCGAGCGUGAAAUCGAGUAGGGCGGGACACGUGAUAUCCUGUCUGAAUAUGGGGGGACCAUCCUCCAAGGCUAAAUACUCCUGACUGACCGAUAGUGAACCAGUACCGUGAGGGAAAGGCGAAAAGAACCCCUGUGAGGGGAGUGAAAUAGAACCUGAAACCGUGUACGUACAAGCAGUAGGAGCACCUUCGUGGUGUGACUGCGUACCUUUUGUAUAAUGGGUCAGCGACUUAUAUUCAGUGGCAAGGUUAACCGUAUAGGGGAGCCGUAGCGAAAGCGAGUCUUAACUGGGCGCUCAGUCUCUGGAUAUAGACCCGAAACCGGGUGAUCUAGCCAUGGGCAGGUUGAAGGUUGAGUAACAUCAACUGGAGGACCGAACCGACUAAUGUUGAAAAAUUAGCGGAUGACUUGUGGCUAGGGGUGAAAGGCCAAUCAAACUCGGAGAUAGCUGGUUCUCCCCGAAAGCUAUUUAGGUAGCGCCUCGGACGAAUACUACUGGGGGUAGAGCACUGUUAAGGCUAGGGGGUCAUCCCGACUUACCAACCCUUUGCAAACUCCGAAUACCAGUAAGUACUAUCCGGGAGACACACGGCGGGUGCUAACGUCCGUCGUGGAGAGGGAAACAACCCAGACCGCCAGCUAAGGUCCCAAAGUAUUGCUAAGUGGGAAACGAUGUGGGAAGGCUCAGACAGCUAGGAUGUUGGCUUAGAAGCAGCCAUCAUUUAAAGAAAGCGUAAUAGCUCACUAGUCGAGUCGGCCUGCGCGGAAGAUGUAACGGGGCUAAGCAAUACACCGAAGCUGCGGCAAUGUCUUUUAGACAUUGGGUAGGGGAGCGUUCUGUAAGCCGUUGAAGGUGAAUCGUAAGGUUUGCUGGAGGUAUCAGAAGUGCGAAUGCUGACAUGAGUAACGACAAAGGGGGUGAAAAACCUCCUCGCCGGAAGACCAAGGGUUCCUGUCCAACGUUAAUCGGGGCAGGGUGAGUCGACCCCUAAGGUGAGGCCGAAAGGCGUAAUCGAUGGGAAACGGGUUAAUAUUCCCGUACUUCUGACUAUUGCGAUGGGGGGACGGAGAAGGCUAGGUG
rnacentral:rRNA from 1 species